CCGGCCGUCCAGCCGCCCCGGGGCUGCCUAGGGGUCCUCAGAGCUGCUCCUCGGGCUCCGCCCACCGAAACUUCUGUUUUUCCUGUAAGAGCGAGGCAGGCAGCUGUGCGAGUAUCACAGCUUUCAUUGCUUUUCCGUCCCUCAGGAAAGGCGCUUAGGCUUCCCGGCGUUUGACCUCCGGAUGAACUGACCAGAGCAAUGAGAUGAGAUGGAGAGUCAAUAGACUUUCAGGCUACUAGGUCUGGAAGGGAUUGGUGGGCUGGAAGCCACAUCUCUGCAUCUGGAAAAUCUCUUCAGGAGAAGAGACAGUUGACAGGCAGUAGGAAUGUGACUGAAUUUGGGGUGGAGUGAAAUAUAAAGGCCCCCGAUGGAUUGGAUGUUGCUGCCCACAUUGGUGAGGGCCAGUUUCUCCAUUCAGUCUACUGAAUCAGAUGUUACUGUCUUCCAGAAACACCUUCACAGACACAUCCAAUGAUAAUGUAUCACCAGCCAUGUAGGCAUCUCUUAGGCCAGUCAAACUGACACAUUAAAUUAACCAUCACAAGUCUACUACUUGUCACUUUGGCACCUAUAUCUGUGUCCUUAAACCAUACUUCAUAUCUUAAUAAAAGACAAUUGCAAGGUUAUAAAUCUGUUUAACAUGACUCUGUCUGUCAAAUAGAUAAAUAAAAUCUUUUUAAAAAAAUCUGUUUAACAUGAUACAACUAUUCUGCAUACAACUGAAAAACCUU